rnacentral:rRNA from 2 species
ACACAUGCAAGUCGAGCGGUAAGGCCUUUCGGGGUACACGAGCGGCGAACGGGUGAGUAACACGUGGGUGAUCUGCCCUGCACUCUGGGAUAAGCUUGGGAAACUGGGUCUAAUACCGGAUAUGACCACAGCAUGCAUGUGUUGUGGUGGAAAGAUUUAUCGGUGCAGGAUGGGCCCGCGGCCUAUCAGCUUGUUGGUGGGGUAAUGGCCUACCAAGGCGACGACGGGUAGCCGACCUGAGAGGGUGACCGGCCACACUGGGACUGAGACACGGCCCAGACUCCUACGGGAGGCAGCAGUGGGGAAUAUUGCACAAUGGGCGGAAGCCUGAUGCAGCGACGCCGCGUGAGGGAUGAAGGCCUUCGGGUUGUAAACCUCUUUCAGCAGGGACGAAGCGUGAGUGACGGUACCUGCAGAAGAAGCACCGGCUAACUACGUGCCAGCAGCCGCGGUAAUACGUAGGGUGCGAGCGUUGUCCGGAAUUACUGGGCGUAAAGAGUUCGUAGGCGGUUUGUCGCGUCGUUUGUGAAAACCCGGGGCUCAACUUCGGGCUUGCAGGCGAUACGGGCAGACUUGAGUGUUUCAGGGGAGACUGGAAUUCCUGGUGUAGCGGUGAAAUGCGCAGAUAUCAGGAGGAACACCGGUGGCGAAGGCGGGUCUCUGGGAAACAACUGACGCUGAGGAACGAAAGCGUGGGUAGCAAACAGGAUUAGAUACCCUGGUAGUCCACGCCGU